AAGAGAGAAGCCCCUCCCAUUCGCUUCUACUGGGGCUUGUUAGGCCAUCGCCUUGGGGGCCGGCUGAUCAGCGGCAGCCAGCAGCCGGCGGCUUCGGCAGGCAGGAACAAGGACAGCCUGUGGCUACUGCAGCCCCACUGCCCGGCCAUGCUUCAUGAUGGGGGAGAGUGCCUUGGGAGGAAUAUACAGGCAAAUCAUGACUCCCAGAGGCCUAUGGACUGGAGCUAUUAACAUCCUGCAGAUGGGAGCCACUCUCUCACUGUGAUCACCAAGUAAUUUUCAUCGACUGUGGAGCAGCCUGCUGGGACCCUGCCAGCUGAUCUUAACAAGCCCACUUACUGCAGGAUUCCCACUGCUUUCCUGGGCUAGGAAUUCCUUAACCAAAGCUAAAGAUUUCCUAGAUGAAAGACCUUGAUCCACUGCCUUUCAUGAUUCAGCACUGGAUUUUCUGUUCCAUGCAGCCUUCUAUUGGAAUAAUUUUGUGAAAUGAAGGCAACAAAGUAUUGUUUUCUUAAUCAAAGAGAACUUCAUAAAAAUUGUGCUCCUUGACUGCUAAUUUGUCCUGCAUUGUUACCGAUGCUUUUCUUAUGAUUUUUGUUUUGCACUGAACAGCCCCCUGGCUGAGAGAAAACCCCGAAGCAGUUAAGAUACCAGGAAAGGAAGACUUGAAAAUUGGUUAGUGAAGAUUCUGAGUAUUUCCUGGUGCGUCUGGGAAUUUUGUUUGUUUUUUGUGGUGAUAUUUCUUUCUCUCUGUAUGUCUCUGUCUCUCUGUCUCUAUCUGCAUCUCUGCCCUUGUUAGAAGGGACUAAUUAGAAUGGCACAAACACGUUAGAAUUGGAGAUCAUUGUUGCAAAGGCCCUUAGGAAGAGGGGGGCAGUUUUGGUCCAUUCUGAAGGCUAUCAAGGCGGUUUCCAGCUUGCUCUUGGCACGAAAAGGAAUAACCAGGGCCAUUUUAAUGCCAUGGGCAGGGAAAGCAUGAUGCAAAGCUUUUGGAGGGGCCACCGGGUAACAACAGGAGAGCACCAGAACUCACGGAGAGAGCAGAGGUUGAGGAAGCCUGGCGCCCCAGCGACAAAGCAGUGUCCCCGACAAAAGAAAGAUUCAAUCUUGGAAACAGAAACAUGAAGUGAAUGUUUAAUACCAUGGUCCAAGAAGAUGGCAUUUUCUGUGACUGGAACAAUGCAGAAUUAAUGUGUAUCUGCAAGAAAUAUCAUUAAGAUUAAGUAUUCUUCAGAGAGAUUGGAGAAUCGGGGAAUUCAAGUGCGUUUGUUGGCUUGAGCCAGCCCUCCGCUACCUGACCCAUCUGCAGGCAGAAAGGGCAUCCACCAAGUGAGUCUUUCUCAGUAGAGGAGGCAGUGUGCUGUUAUAUGCUGAUGCAGCUCCUUGUCUUGGACUCAUAACUGACAGAACAGCAUGUGGACCUCACCGCUCCUUGGACUUCGAGUGGCGCUACUCUAACGCUGAGUCCUGACCUGGAUCCCUGUUUGCUUGCCUAGACCUAAGGCGGUGGUGCAGACCUUCCCCCACCCCACAUACCAUCGCCUUCUGGAAUGUGGCUUUGUGGAACUGAGGCUGAGACAAUCACAGUGCCCCAUUCUUCUGGUCAUGUGACAGGUCUGGACCUGGUCAUGUGGCAAAGUCGAAUCUAAGUCACAUCAAAGCAGGGAGAGUUAAAGCAAAUCUUUUCUCUCUUGUUGUGGAGCUGGAAUAUGAGCCCAGAAGCUUCCAGAACACAUGGUCCUGCCCUCAUAAAGAAGCUCAAGUGAGGGAACAAAAUCGACUUAGGUAGCAGCGAGCAUGGAUGGGGCCUGGCUACAUCAAGUUCUCAGAUCCUGUUGUCCCCACCCACCCCCUGUAACUUGCCAAUUUUAUCCAUCAAGCAUCCUCUCCUCUCUCCCAACUUGUCUGAGUUCUGUUUCUGUCAUUGUCACCAAGAGAGCUUUGAUGAGUAAGAAAUCCCAACAUUCCACGGGAGUCUUGGUGGUUUAAAUUUUUAAGUGAGUCCUCACUUGUUAAAGUCUUAUUCCUGUUAGAGGGCACUUCCAUAGUCCAGAAGGUGGGGAAUUCCUAUAGGUGACCUGUGGUCUCUCUAAGCAAUUUGACCAGGACUAUUUAAUAAAAUAUUUUAAAAAUGGUUCCUUUUAAUUAUUCAUUUUCAAAUGUAUAUUUGUUCUUGGCAAACAAGAGAUGAUUUGCGUUAAUCAGUGAUCUUUAAGCAAAUUCCUUGCAAUACUUUAUCUCCAUAUAAACUCGAAGCUUCUUAAAUGAAAUAGUACCUGUGUAUUUCAUAUGGCUUCCUCUUUUAUAAAUAAAAUGAAUGGACUUGGGACCAAAACAGAAUUUUUUUUUUCGGGAACUAUAGGACUGGAAUCUUUUUAUCCAAGGCAGUUGGAUCCCACAGUACAUUUUCACUGUAACAGACAAUGAGGUUGAGUCAAUAAAUAAAUAAAUAAAGUCACCAACAUGUCCAAAAGCCUCCAUUUAAAACUCAAAGCCAGUGGUUUUGGGUUUCACCUUUUCCUUUAAAAUUAAAUUCCCUGAAACCAUAUUUUAAAAAUGCUAUCUGAAUGGGAACCGCCAAACUGGGAAACUUUAAGUUUAAAAAUAGAACUGCAUCUGAAUUAUCUUAUAGAAAUUUGUCUUCUAACCAGCCAUCAGUAACUGUAAGCAUGCUUCAUAGAUCUACAUAUUUCAGCACUUUUUACAUUCUGAAAGAAUCUUGCUUAGAUACGAAGGUUAACUGGACACCUUUUUCUGCAUUCACCUUUAAUACUGGAUGCCCCCUUUAUCUGCACUCCCAAGCUGGGAAGCCCCAGAGUGGGCUCUUGGCCCCUUGCGGCCAACUGAAGUUCUCCAUCUCUGCAGCCUCCGUGAUCACCUUAAGAAUAGGCUCGCGACCUCCUUUGGGCCACACAGAGUCCUUCUCAGGGCUUGCGCUGGAGCUCUCAGGAGGGAUGCUCGCUUUCUCACUGAUCAGGAACUCUAAGGACCAAAGCCUGGAGUGAGGAUGUGAUCUGCUUGCAAGCGAAGGAGGCAGGAGGCAGCCGGACUCGAGGGCACACAUGACCUGGCAGGGCUGAACCUCAGGCUCCGGUGAGGCUGGCUCCUGACUGCCCCUCUGGACUUUCUCAGUUAUUUCAGGCCAUGGAUUAUCUUUAGUGCUUAAGCUAGUUUGAGUUGUGUUUCUGCCACUCAUAAUUCAGAGAAUCCUGGUGGCUUCAGUGUGAUCAGGAAGACAUUGGGAGCCAUUUUAGUUUUUACUUAACUUUUCCAAACUUGCUAGACAGGCUGAUUAUGGGUCUGUGCUAGUCUGGGAACCUGUGUUUGCUCUCUUAAGCCAUGGGUCUUAGACUCAUUUCCUGUUGCAAACAGGAUGCACUGCACAUUUUUACUGUGUUUUUGCUGCCCAUAAGUGGGAGGCAGAUUCGAAUGAUAGAAUUGGAAAGGUUCCAAAAGCACCAGCCAUGGUAGGGACCCUGAAGAUUGCAAGAUAAACAAAAGCAUUCAGAACUUGUGAUGGGAGUGUGAGAGGAUUGAGCGUUGAAGUCAGCCUAACAGAGGCUGUCGUUUACCCGGUGAAAUCCUCAAGUUACAAACAGCUGCUGUGCAAUUGGAAGUCACAGUCUUCAGUUAGGCUUGAUUUGUCAUUUGGUUUAUAAAUAAGCUUUCAUUUUGUCUUUUUUUUUUUUUUUUUUUGGUCUGGCAAUGUGGUAUCUCUUCCUUGCAGGAUUUGGGAAGCUGGGAAUAUGUGUGACCCACACUACCUGAGGGUGAUAGACUUUGACAGUGUCUCCAGCAUUUUCAUGUUGAAAUCUGCUUUAUCCUAAUUUCCAGUCUUGGUCUUGUCUGUCACAGGCUGGGGAGAAGAGCACCGUCCAGAGAAGGACCCAAUAAGGGACAUUUCCACCUUGCUUAGUGGGUUGAGGGCUGGGCUUUGGGUUUGAGAUGUGAAGAGAAAGAAGCUACGUGGAAGAGAAAGGAUGGAGGUACAAGGACGCCCUCCAGCCGGCUACACUUCUGAAACUAAAACAUACAAAACUCAGUGGCUUUUCCUCAACUCCUAUGAUGGAUGUGCAAGGACGCCCUCCAGCUGGCUGCAUUUCUGAUGCUAAAAAUACAAAACUCAGCAGCUUUGCCCAUACUCCUAUGAUGCCUG
rnacentral:lncRNA from 1 species